rnacentral:rRNA from 1 species
AAAUUGAAGAGUUUGAUCAUGGCUCAGAUUGAACGCUGGCGGCAGGCCUAACACAUGCAAGUCGAACGGUAGCACAGAGAGCUUGCUCUCGGGUGACGAGUGGCGGACGGGUGAGUAAUGUCUGGGAAACUGCCUGAUGGAGGGGGAUAACUACUGGAAACGGUGGCUAAUACCGCAUAACGUCGCAAGACCAAAGAGGGGGACCUUCGGGCCUCUUGCCAUCAGAUGUGCCCAGAUGGGAUUAGCUAGUUGGUGAGGUAACGGCUCACCAAGGCGACGAUCCCUAGCUGGUCUGAGAGGAUGACCAGCCACACUGGAACUGAGACACGGUCCAGACUCCUACGGGAGGCAGCAGUGGGGAAUAUUGCACAAUGGGCGCAAGCCUGAUGCAGCCAUGCCGCGUGUAUGAAGAAGGCCUUCGGGUUGUAAAGUACUUUCAGCGGGGAGGAAGGUGUUGUG